rnacentral:rRNA from 1 species
AUUCGUAUAUACCGUGGCUCUGAGGUGGGGUGGGGUGGACUAUGGACAUCCGCUUUUUUUCUCAAUAGGGAAUCCGGCGGUGUCCUCCGUUUUCGUUCACCUUCGGUACCGCUGCCGCCUCCACCCUCCGCUACCGAAGCUCAAAGACAGUCUAGGGCAACUGUCUAUAGGGAAGUAAAGUUUUAUCUACUGGGUUUCACCUUGCCUCCCUCAUUGAAGGAAUAGAGGGUGAGCACCACGCAUGACGACCGGCAACACUAAGCUGCGCGUUGGAAUCAUGAGCUGAGGGAAGAAAACCGUAUCCAGGGAGGCGGCCUAGAACCGCCGCCGCUCAGAUAUGAACUGCGACUUGGGGGGGUUUGAGACUAGACGUGUAGGCGGGUCAGGUCGUGACCACUACACCCACUACGACGGGACGUCAUGUUAAUCUAAACUUGUCGUCAACACUCCCUGAAUCGAACAGUCGCGGGUUGAGUCUCGUCAGUUGACCGUUCCUGCUAGGAGUCCGGGGCCCGACCUGUUUCUCCAUAUAUCUACGUAAAGAGACAACUACUUAGUUUCAGAAAAACUAACGCACUCUCGCUAAAGAAAGACUUAAUGUGUCCCAGGCACAACCCGUACGUGGAGAACUUGCAGGUGGGACACAACCGUUCUAUUCACGGGACCUCUUUUGUAACUCUACUUCUGACUUUGACAGCACUAAGGACGUCAGCCUCUGUUGAAACUAGGGGAAACGGUGGCACGUCCUACAUGGCAGAGGGGAAACGGCUGCACACGUUUGCCGCAACGGCACCGUGAGCUUUUUCUUUUGUCCGUUUUUAAUUGGUGGGAGGAGGUCACCUACGCCAAGAGCUUCUGCGGUAAGUAAGUCGACGAAACGCGACGUGCCGCCCCUCCGGUGCCGCCGCCGCCCCCUACCUAAACUCAAGGAGAGUCUAGUCCAAGGACGACGGCCGUUAACCGCCGCUGUUCAUGUGCGUUCGCCGCGUAUGCCACGAUCUAGACGACCUACCUCGUCGGCUCAGGUCGUGAUCCCUCCACCCCUUCGCGGCGGACAAGAGUCUCGUCAGUUGCCCCGAGCUGCUGGACGUCCGGGACCGACCUGUUUUCCGACGUGAUCACUACGCCCGCUUGUGGGGUGACCUUUACGUGCGAUCGUUAUGGAUGUGGUCCGAUACAAGCUCUUUAAACCACAUCAGAACAUGCUACGGCCUGUCAUGUUCCACCUCCUCCAACUCUUUCCGUGCUCCAAGAACCACGUGGCCAUGGUGGGAUUCUUCGUACUGUUUAUCACGUUUCAACAGAUACUUCACCCCCAAGAACAUUUACCCCGUCUCUAACGUACACUCACGCCAUUAAAACUUGUGUGACCACGAGACGAUGGUACGCCAAUUCCAUGAACUAAAGGGUCCGAAUUGGCUUCAUAGUUUCUUCUUGUAAGAUUUCUCCACCUGGUCCCUACGUUCUCUACACGACGGUCUAGUGUGUGUGUGUGCGAUUGUGAUAACUCCACAUGCUGAACCUCUACGUUUGUGUUGUCGUAUGUUCCGCUGUUACCUCGAGGAGUUCCGUCAUCAAGUCUUCGAUUACGGAUAUCGCCAACACGCACUGCCAUACCCCUAUAUUAUGUCCUAAGUUCUACACUUUCCGUUCCCAUAUCUUUACUCAUUACCCGUACGUGGCCGGACAUCCAUAUCUUCGCUACGACUUCCCUCACCUCACCCGUUAAACUAUCCUAAUAGUCCAGGUCUUGCAUUUGCCUUCCGUCCAACAGGGUGUUUGUCGUCCCAAACGGAGGUAUACUACUAGCGCCACUCGUUAGCUUCUUCACGUUACGACACCGUUUUCGCUGUCCGUGUCGAUUCACACCGUACUCGUUCACAUGCACCAAGACGUCAGAUACAGCUGUUGGUCCAGUGUUCUCAUGUUGACAUGUUGAACAGGAGUCUCCCCACUGGGGGGACACUCUGGUUCCUUCCUUAGGAUUACAAGUUUGACAUCGCAGUCGGCGGUAGCCUUCUUGUGCACGUCGAUAGGCUUCAUGACGUACAACAUCGAUUUACCGUUGCACCUACCAGAGAAGGACGUGCGAAUCCGAAGAGGUAGCAACCCAGGUUACAAGAGUCACAUACUUGAAGUAAAAAAAGGAUGUCCACACUCCCGAAUCGUCACAUACGUCUUUAGCUUACUACAACAGAUCACAUUGUUGACACAGACACCCACAUUGUCUUGGUACAACAACAGAAACCAACUAGACAUACACACAUUGGGGUAAUUCUGUUACAAAAGGACACUCAGACUUGUAAAUGUAAAAAGUCUCCUCGUAAACACGCACGCAUUGCACCUAUCCACCUGUGUUUAGACAAUAAGUGUAUAUAACUAUCCCGACGACACAACAAAGCACGUGCUCAUGCAAACAAAGUCAAACGGACCUUAAACCUAUUUAUUUGUCGAACGGGG